UACGUAGGGUGCGAGCGUUAAUCGGAAUUACUGGGCGUAAAGCGUGCGCAGGCGGUUCGGUAAGAAAGAUGUGAAAUCCCAGGGCUUAACCUUGGAACUGCAUUUUAAACUGGCGGGCUAGAGUAUGUCAGAGGGGGGUGGAAUUCCACGUGUAGCAGUGAAAUGCGUAGAGAUGUGGAGGAAUACCGAUGGCGAAGGCAGCCCCCUGGGCUGACACUGACGCUCAGGCACGAAAGCGUGGGGAGCAAACAGG
rnacentral:rRNA from 1 species